UCAUGGAUUUGAGAUGCUAAGGACCCUUAAAGCUUACUACAUCAAUGAUGUCAUUGGAGUCAUGACUUGUUUACAAGUUAUAUUAAGUUGACAUUUACAAGAAUUCUUAUGAGGCUUGUAUUAGAUUAUGCUAGAGUGUACUAAUUGGCACAUCUUUGCUAUCAGAAUGCCGCCUAAGAGAGGACGCCCUGCGAGAAACAAUAACAAUCGCAGAAACCGUAACGCUGUACCCGAAGAACCACAAGAUGCUCGAGGACAUAACCCAUCCCCUCCGCCCCCAACUAGGAGAGUCGAAGAACUCUUUUUAAGGCAAAAUCCACCUACGUUUGACGGAACGAGUGAACCGGCUGAAGCUGAGAUUUGGGUGCGUGCAAUGGAACGCAUUUUCAACUUUCUACGUUGUACUGAUGAGGAGCGCCUAUCUUGCGUCUCUUUCCAAC
rnacentral:lncRNA from 1 species